rnacentral:rRNA from 1 species
CACUACCUACGGGGGGCAGCAGUGGGGAAUAUUGCACAAUGGGGGGAACCCUGAUGCAGCGACGCCGCGUGAGUGAAGAAGUAUUUCGGUAUGUAAAGCUCUAUCAGCAGGGAAGAAGAUGACGGUACCUGAGUAAGAAGCCCCGGCUAACUACGUGCCAGCAGCCGCAGUAAUACGUAGGGGGCAAGCGUUAUCCGGAUUUACUGGGUGUAAAGGGAGCGUAGACGGCAUAGCAAGUCUGAAGUGAAAGCCCAAGGCUCAACCAUGGGACUGCUUUGGAAACUGUUAAGCUAGAGUGCUGGAGG